rnacentral:rRNA from 1 species
GACGAACGCUGGCGGCGUGCUUAACACAUGCAAGUCGAACGGAAAGGCCCUGCUUUUGUGGGGUGCUCGAGUGGCGAACGGGUGAGUAACACGUGAGUAACCUGCCCUUGACUUUGGGAUAACUUCAGGAAACUGGGGCUAAUACCGGAUAGGAGCUCCUGCUGCAUGGUGGGGGUUGGAAAGUUUCGGCGGGUGGGGAUGGACUCGCGGCUUAUCAGCUUGGUGGUGGGGUAGUGGCUUACCAAGGCCGUGACGGGUAGGCGGCCUGAGAGGGUGACCGGCCACAUUGGGACUGAGAUACGGCCCAGACUCCUACGGGAGGCAGCAGUGGGGAAUAUUGCACAAUGGGCGGAAGCCUGAUGCAGCAACGCCGCGUGCGGGAUGACGGCCUUCGGGUUGUAAACCGCUUUCGCCUGUGACGAAGCGUGAGUGACGGUAAUGGGUAAAGAAGCACCGGCUAACUACGUG